AGACCCGAAACCCGGUGAUCUAGCCAUGGGCAGGUUGAAGGUUGGGUAACACUAACUGGAGGACCGAACCGACUAAUGUUGAAAAAUUAGCGGAUGACCUGUGGCUGGGGGUGAAAGGCCAAUCAAACCGGGAGAUAGCUGGUUCUCCCCGAAAGCUAUUUAGGUAGCGCCUCGUGAACUCAUCUCCGGGGGUAGAGCACUGUUUCGGCUAGGGGGCCAUCCCGGCUUACCAACCCGAUGCAAACUGCGAAUACCGGAGAAUGUUAUCACGGGAGACACACGGCGGGUGCUAACGUCCGUCGUGAAGAGGGAAACAACCCAGACCGCCAGCUAAGGUCCCAAAGUCAUGGUUAAGUGGGAAACGAUGUGGGAAGGCCCAGACAGCCAGGAUGUUGGCUUAGAAGCAGCCAUCAUUUAAAGAAAGCGUAAUAGCUCACUGGUCGAGUCGGCCUGCGCGGAAGAUGUAACGGGGCUAAACCAUGCACCGAAGCUGCGGCAGCGAACGUAUCACCCAAGACAACUUUGCGGAGUUGACGAUUGACGGAGCGAAGCGACGUCAAAGCGUUCAUUAAAGUCGAGUUGGCUUAGGGAUACGUUCGUUGGGUAGGGGAGCGUUCUGUAAGCCAGUGAAGGUGUGUCGUGAGGCAUGCUGGAGGUAUCAGAAGUGCGAAUGCUGACAUAAGUAACGAUAAAGCGGGUGAAAAGCCCGCUCGCCGGAAGACCAAGGGUUCCUGUCCAACGUUAAUCGGGGCAGGGUGAGUCGACCCCUAAGGCGAGGCCGAAAGGCGUAGUCGAUGGGAAACGGGUUAAUAUUCCCGUACUUGGUGUUACUGCGAAGGGGGGACGGAGAAGGCUAUGUUGGCCGGGCGACGGUUGUCCCGGUUUAAGCGUGUAGGUGUGUGUUCCAGGUAAAUCCGGUUCACUUUAACACUGAGGCGUGAUGACGAGGCACUACGGUGCUGAAGUAACAAAUGCCCUGCUUCCAGGAAAAGCCUCUAAGCAUCAGGUAACAUCAAAUCGUACCCCAAACCGACACAGGUGGUCAGGUAGAGAAUACCAAGGCGCUUGAGAGAACUCGGGUGAAGGAACUAGGCAAAAUGGUGCCGUAACUUCGGGAGAAGGCACGCUGAUAUGUAGGUGAAGCGGUUUACCCGUGGAGCUGAAAUCAGU
rnacentral:rRNA from 1 species